GUUUUCUUCUAGGGUUUUUAUGGUUUUAGGUCUUACGUUUAAGUGUCUAAUCCAUCUUGAGUUAAUUUUUGUAUAAGGUGUAAGGAAGGGAUCCCAGUUUUAGUUUUCUGCCUAUGGCUAGCCAGUUUUCCCAACACCAUUUAUUAAAUAGGAAAUCCUUUCUCCACUGCUUGUUUUUCUCAGGUUUGUCAAAGAUCAUAUGGUUGUAGAUGUGUGGUGUUAUUUCUGAGGCCUCUGUUCUGUUCCAUUGGUCUAUAUAUCUGUUUUGGUACCAGUACCAUGCUGUUUUGGUUACUGUAGCCUUGUAGUAUAGUUUGAAGCCAGGUAGCAUGAUGCCUCCAGCUUUAUUCUUUUUGCUUAGGAUUAUCUUGGCUAUGAGGGCUCUUUUUUGGUUCCAUAUGAAUUUAAAGUAGUUUUUUUUCUAAUUCUGUGAAGAAAGUCAAUAGUAGCUUGAUGGGGAUGGCAUUGAAUCUAUAAAUUACUUUGGGCAGUAUGGCCAUUUUCAUGGUAUUGAUUCUUCCUAUCUAUGAGCAUGGAAUGUUUUUCCAUUUGUUUGUUUCCUCUCUUAUUUCCUUGAGCUGUGGUUUGUAGUUCUCCUUGAAGAGGUUCUUCACAUCCCUUGUAAGUUGUAUUCCUAGGUAUUUUAUUCUUUGUAGCAGUUGUGAAUGGGAGUUCACUCAUGAUUUGGCUCUCUGUCUGUUCUUGGUGUAUAGGAAUACUUGUGAUUUUUGCAUAUUGAUUUUGUAUCCUGAGACUUUGCUGAAAUUGCUCAGCUUAAGGAGAUUUUGGGCUGAGACGAUGGGGUUUUCUAAAUAAACAAUCAUGUCAUCUGCAAAGAGAGACAAUUGACUUCCUCUUUUCCUAAUUGAAUACACUUUAUUUCUUUCUCUUGCCUGAUUGCCCUGGCCAGAACUUCCAAUACUAUGUUGAAUAGGAGUGGUGAGAGAGGGCAUCCUUGUCUUGUGCCAGUUUUCAAAGGAAUGCUUCCAGUUUUUGCCCAUUCAGUAUGAUAUACUGAUAUUGGCUGUGGGUUUGUCAUAAAUAGCUCUUAUUAUUUUGAGAUACUUUCAGUCAAUACCUAGUUCAUUGAGAAUUUUCAGCAUGAAGGGCUGUUGAAUUUUGUUGAAGGCCUUUUCUGCAUCUAUUUACAUAAUCAUGUGGUUUUUGUCAUUGGUUCUGUUUAUGUGAUGGAUUACGUUUAUUGAUUUGUGUAUGUUGAACCAGCCUUGCAUCCCAGGAAUGAAGCCCACUGGAUCAUGGUGGACAAGCUUUUUGAUGUGCUUCUGGAUUCAGUUUAUCAGUAUUUUAUUGAGGAUUUUCUCAUUGAUGUUCAUCAGGGAUAUUUGCUUAAAAUUUUCUUUUUUUGUUGUGUCUCUGCCAGGUCUUGGUAUCAGGAAGGUGCUGGCCUCAUAAAAUGAGUUAGGGAGGAUUCUCUCUUUUUCUAUUGUUUGGAAUAGUUUCAGAAGGAAUGGUACCAGCUCCUCUUUGUACCUUUGGUAGAAUUUGGCUGUGAAUCCGUCUGGUCCUGGACUUUUUUUGGUUGGCAGGCUAUUAAUUACUGCCUCCAUUUCAGAACUUGUAAUUGGUCUAUUCAGGGAUUUGACUUCUUCCUGGUUUAGUCUUGGGAGGGUGUAUGUGUCCUGGAAUUUAUCCAUUUCUUCUAGAUUUUCUAGUUUAUUUGUGUAGAGGUGUUUAUAGUAUUCUCUGAUGGUAGUUUGUAUUUCUGUGGGAUCUGUGGUGAUAUUCCCUUUAUCAUUUUUUAUUGCGUCUGUUUGAUCUUUCUCCCCUUUCUUCUUCAUUAAUCUGGGUAGCAGUCUAUCUAUUUUGUUGAUCUUUUCAAAAAACCAGCUCCUGGAUUCAUUGAUUUUUUGAAGGGCUUUUUGUGUCUCUAUCUCCUUCAGUUCUGCUCCGAUCUUAGUUAUUUCUUGUCUUCUUCUAGCUUUUGAAUUUGUUUGCUCUCGCUUCUCUUGUUCUUUUAAUUGUGAUGUUAGGGUGUUGGUUUUAGAUCUUGCCUUCUUUCUCUUGUGGGCAUUUAGUGCUAUACAUUUCCCUCUACACAGUGCUUUAAAUGUGUCCCAAAGAUUCUGGUACAUUGUGUCUUUAUUCUCAUUGGUUUCAAAGAACAUCUUUAUUCCUGCCUUCAUUUCAUUAUGUACCCAGUAGUCAUUCAGGAGUAAGUUGUUCAGUUUUCAUGUAGUUGUUUGGUUUUGAGUAAGUUUCUUAAUCCUGAGUUCUAGUUUGAUUGCACUGUGGUCUGAGAGACUUGUUUGUUAUGAUUUCUGUUCUCUUGCAUUUGCUGAGGAGUAUUUUACUUCCAAUUUUGUGGUCAAUUUUAGAAUAAGUGCAAUGUGGUGUUGAGAAGAAUGUAUAUUCUGUUGAUUUGUUGUGGAAAGUUCUGUAGAUGUCUAUUAGUUCUGCUUGGUCUGGAGCUGAGUUCAAGUCCUGGAUAUCCUUGUUAAUUUUCUGUCUCGUUGAUUUGUCUAAUAUUGACAGUGGGGUGUUAAAGUCUCCCACAAUAAUUGUGUGGGAGUCUAAGUCUCUUUGUAGGUCUUUAAGGACUCGCUUUAUGAAUCUGGGUGCUCCUGUAUUGGGUGCAUAUAUAUUUAGGAUAGUUAGCUCUUCUUGCUGCAUUGAUCCCUUUAUGAUUAUGUAAUGCCCUUUUCUCUUUUGAUUUCUGCUGCUUUAAAGUCUGUUUCAUCAGAGACUAGGAUUGCAAACCCUGCUUUUUUUUGCUUUCCAUUUGCUUGAUAAAUCUUCCUCCAUCCCUUUAUUUUGAGCCUAUGUGUGUCUUUGCAUGUGAGAUGGUCUCCUGCACACCAGUGGGUCUUUACUCUUUGUCCAAUUUGCCAGUCUGUGUCUUUUGAUUGCGGCAUUUAGCUAAUUUACAUUUAAGGUUAAUAUUGAUCUGUGUGAAUUUGAGCUUGUCAUUAUGAUGCUAGCUGGUUAUUUUGCCCGUUAGUUGAUGCUGUUUCUUCAUAGCAUCGAUGGUCUUUACAAUUUGGUAUGUUUUUGCAGUGGCUGGUACCGGUUAUUCCUUUCCAUGUUUAGUGUUUCCUUUAGGAGCUCAUGUAAAGGCAGGCCUGGUGGUGACAAAAUCUCUCAGCAUUUGCUUGUCUGUAAAGUAUUUUAUUUCUCCUUUGCUUAGGAAGCUUAGUUUGGCUGGAUAUGAAAUUCUGGGUUGAAAAUUCUUUUCUUUAAGAAUGUUGAAUAUCGGCCCCCAAUCUCUUCUGGCUUGCAUGUUUUCUGCUGAGAGAUCUGCUGUUAGUCUGAUGGGCUUCCUUUUGUGGGUAACCCGACCUUUCUCUCUGGCUGCCCUUAACAUUUUUUUUUUUUUCAUUUCUACCUUGGUGAAUCUGACAAUUAUGUGUCUUGGGGUUGCUCUUCUUGAGGAAUAUCUUUGUCGUGUUCUCUGUAUUUCCUGAAUUUGAAUGUUGGCCUGCCUUGCUAGAUUGGGGUAGUUCUCCUGUAUAAUAUCCUGAAGAGUGUUUUCCAACUUGGUUCAAUUCUCCCUGUCACUUUCAGGUACAUGAAUCAAAUGUAGAUUUAGUCU
rnacentral:lncRNA from 10 species